CUGCGGAGGGAUCAUUACAAGUGACCCCGGCUACGGCCGGGAUGUUCAUAACCCUUUGUUGUCCGACUCUGUUGCCUCCGGGGCGACCCUGCCUUCGGGCGGGGGCUCCGGGUGGACACUUCAAACUCUUGCGUAACUUUGCAGUCUGAGUAAACUUAAUUAAUAAAUUAAAACUUUUAACAACGGAUCUCUUGGUUCUGGCAUCGAUGAAGAACGCAGCGAAAUGCGAUAAGUAAUGUGAAUUGCAGAAUUCAGUGAAUCAUCGAAUCUUUGAACGCACAUUGCGCCCCCUGGUAUUCCGGGGGGCAUGCCUGUUCGAGCGUCAUUUCACCACUCAAGCCUCGCUUGGUAUUGGGCAACGCGGUCCGCCGCGUGCCUCAAAUCGUCCGGCUGGGUCUUCUGUCCCCUAAGCGUUGUGGAAACUAUUCGCUAAAGGGUGUUCGGGAGGCUACGCCGUAAAACAACCCCAUUUCUAAGGUUGACCUCGGAUCAGGUAGGGAUACCCGCUGAACUUAAGCA
rnacentral:rRNA from 1 species